AGUGGGGAAUCUUGGACAAUGGGCGCAAGCCUGAUCCAGCCAUGCCGCGUGAGUGACGAAGGCCUUAGGGUUGUAAAACUCUUUCGUGGGGGACGAUAAUGACGGUACCCCAAGAAGAAGCUCCGGCUAACUUCGUGCCAGCAGCCGCGGUAAUACGAAGGGGGCUAGCGUUGUUCGGAUUUACUGGGCGUAAAGCGCAUGUAGGCGGGUCGUUAAGUUGGGGGUGAAAUCCCGAGGCUCAACCUCGGAACUGCCUCCAAAACUGGCGACCUGGAGCAAGAUAGAGGCGAGUGGAAUUCCGAGUGUAGAGGUGAAAUUCGUAGAUAUUCGGAGGAACACCAGUGGCGAAGGCGACUCGCUGGAUCUUUGCUGACGCUGAGAUGCGAAAGCGUGGGGAGCAAA
rnacentral:rRNA from 1 species